UUUGCCUCAUCCGCUAACUCCGCCGUCCAACGAACCACGCCAAACCACGCCGUAUCUCUCUCUCAAUUCACUAUGUUCUCUCUGUCUCUCUCUGGUCUCGCCCUGUUCUCGCCGUCUCCGCCAUCCGACGAACCAUGCCUCCGCUUCCACCUCCGCCUCUAAAGAUGCUGCGGCUAAAGCUGAUGCAGACAAUGUCCUCGAAGGAUGAGAUCCCCAAUACGAUGUGAUGGUUAGCCAUAUGGUGGGUCGGAUUCAAUCAAAACCCGGAGGGAAACUUGAGAUGGGUGAGGUUCGUAAGUUGAUUUUCUUUUUGUAACUUUAAUGUAAAAAAAGGUGGUUUGUCGGAGGCGAUGGCAUGGUUCGCGUGAGUCGAGAAAGAGAGAGAGCAGAGCGUGAAGGAAGAGUGAAGAGAGAGAAAUCGUCAUAGUAGAGAGAAAGAGUCCCGCUUGAACCUUUAAAAUUUGGUUGGCUAACAUGGUUGGGCCUGGGCAACAUGUGUCGCCCAGUGAAUGGACUUAGAUUAAUCCAA